UUUAAGUGCAACCAUAAGUUUUCGUGCCUAAUUUUAAUAGUCCGUCUUAUUUGAAUUUUUUUUAUAAUUAGUAUUUUUGUUGUUAUGGGAUGAUAAAACAUGAAUAGUACUUUAUGUGUGACUUAUGUUUUUAUUUUUUUAAAAAAAAUUAAAUAAGACGGACGAUUAAAGUUUAGCAUGGAAAAACAUGGCUGCACUUAAA
rfam:Oryza glaberrima chromosome 6 Oglab06_0039_7, whole genome shotgun sequence.